rnacentral:lncRNA from 1 species
UAUUUUGCAUUCAUAAUCUAUACUAGACCAAAUGAAGCGAGUGCUUUCAAUGGUCAUAAAAUCACACUUGGGAACUUAAUCGUUGUGGUCAGGGAAAAGCAUUUAAGUUCUGAACCAGUAGCCAUAUUGAUACUAGAACUAAUAUGCUUUGUGUUCAUGUUGAAGGUUCAGGAGAUGGAAACUUGCAUGCAUGGAACAUCAACACACUAAAUAAGGUAAUCUCUUCCCCCGUGUGUGUUAGGCCUGUAGUAGCUGUUAUUUGGAAGCACCUCUUCACUAAACAUGAUAUAGUAUUUUCUUUCUUUUUUCUUUCCUUUGGAAAUGGGAUGCUUCCAAGCUGCCACU